rnacentral:rRNA from 1 species
AGUGAACGCUGGCGGCAGGCCUAACACAUGCAAGUCGAGCGGCAGCGGGUUCCCGCGAGGGGAUGCCGGCGAGCGGCGGACGGGUGAGGAACACAUCGGAAUCUGCCUGGUUGUGGGGGAUAACGUAGGGAAACUUACGCUAAUACCGCAUGAGACCCUGAGUCGACGGACUGGGGGUGAAAGUGAGGGACCUUCGGGCCGUCACGCGACCAGAUGAGCCGAUGUCGGAUUAGCUAGUUGGCGGGGUAACGGCCCGCCAAGGCGACGAUCCGUAGCUGGUCUGAGAGGAUGAUCAGCCACACUGGGACUGAGACACGGCCCAGACUCCUACGGAGGCAGCAGUGGGAAUCUUGGACAAUGGGCGCAAGCCUGAUCCAGCCAUG